CCCUUAGAUGUCCUGGGCUGCACGCGCGCUACACUGAUGUGUCCAGUAAGCACCUAACCUCUUCCGAAAGGAACGGGUAACCUUUGCAAAGCACAUCGUGAUGGGGAUAGAUUAUUGCAAUUAUUAGUCUUGAACGAGGAAUUCCUAGUAAGCACAAGUCAUCAGCUUGUGUUGAUUACGUCCCUGCCCUUUGUACACACCGCCCGUCGCACCUACCGAUUGAAUGACUCGGUGAAAAAUUGGGACCGUGAGUCUGUUUGCUUCAUUGCGAGUGGAUUGAUGGGAACUUUUUUAAACCUCGCCAUUUAGAGGAAGGUGAAGUCGUAACA
rnacentral:rRNA from 1 species